GAUGAACGCUAGCGGCAGGCUUAAUACAUGCAAGUCGAGGGGUAGCAAGAUAGUAGCAAUACAAUUGUUGACGACCGGCAAACGGGUGCGGAACACGUACACAACCUUCCUACAAGUGGGGAAUAGCCCAGAGAAAUUUGGAUUAAUACCCCGUAACAUAGCGAUGUGGCAUCACAUUGCUAUUAUAGCUUCGGCGCUUGUUGAUGGGUGUGCGGCUGAUUAGAUAGUUGGCGGGGUAACGGCCCACCAAGUCUACGAUCAGUAGCUGAUGUGAGAGCAUGAUCAGCCACACGGGCACUGAGACACGGGCCCGACUCCUACGGGAGGCAGCAGUAAGGAAUAUUGGACAAUGGACGCAAGUCUGAUCCAGCCAUGCCGCGUGAAGGAUUAAGGUCCUCUGGAUUGUAAACUUCUUUUAUAAGGGACGAAAAAGGUCUUUCUAGAUCGUCUGACGGUACCAGAGGAAUAAGCACCGGCUAACUCCGUGCCAGCCGCCGCAGUAACAC
rnacentral:rRNA from 1 species